UACGGGGGGGGCAAGCGUUGUUCGGAAUUACUGGGCGUAAAGGGCUCGUAGGCGGCCAACUAAGUCGGACGUGAAAUCCCUCAGCUUAACCGGGGAACUGCGUCCGAUACUGGAUGGCUUGAGUUUGGGAGAGGGAUGCGGAAUUCCAGGUGUAGCGGUGAAAUGCGUAGAUAUCUGGAGGAACACCGGUGGCGAAGGCGGCAUCCUGGACCAACACUGACGCUGAUGAGCGAAAGCCAGGGGAGCAAACGGG
rnacentral:rRNA from 1 species